AUGAAAUCUCCUCCAAUCCCAUCCGAACUACCACCACCGGUCACUUCCGAUCAACGCUGUUGCAGACCCCGUCGUGGAUUCCGUCAAUCGCCCGAGAACCGCCACGAUCUGCAAUCACGACGCCGAUAUCUACCUCUCUGGCGCCAUCAUCAUGUUAGUUCUUUUUUCGAUUUCAUGGCUUUUUUCUUCUUUUUUUUUUGUUUGCAUAUGUUGUCUGUGUUUUGA